CCAAAACAAGCCACCUUAAUGGGUGUGCUUUGGUUCUCCAUACCAUUUUCCAUGGCCAAUCCAGUACAUAAUGAUCAGAUUGUUUCAGAAUGCAAAUGCAGCUCAAGAUAUGGAUGAUUGUUCAGUUGAUGAUAAUUUGUCUUGCAAUUGGUUUGGUCUUCCCAUCAAAUCACCCACUACAGUUCCAUUAUCUUUGAAAUGAAAUUUUGACUGUCGUGGGCCCAUUCUGUCUUGAAUUCUUGAGUGAGUACAAUUCAGCUUCUUCCAUUUCAAUCUUUGAUACACAUGGUUCCCUCAUUGAAAGUAGUAUUUCUUGGAGAACACCGGAUACUCCUAACAGUACUUCACUUGUCAUCACUUAUGACAUCCAGUUAAAUACUCUUGAUACAGCUGAAAUUUUUUCUGGAAACCUAAAUCCUUUUGUUUCAACAAUCUAAAAGUUU
rnacentral:misc_RNA from 1 species